UAUGACCAUAUCACGUUGAAACAUUGGUUCCUAUAUUAUCACUGAAGUUAAGCAACGUUGAGCCUGGUCAGUAGCUAGAAGGGUGACCACUUGGGAAUACCAGGUGCUAUA